AACGUAGGGUCCAAGCGUUAUCCGGAAUUACUGGGCGUAAAGAGUUGCGUAGGUGGCAUAGUAAGCAGAUAGUGAAAUGAUACGGCUCAACCGUAUGUCCAUUAUCUGAACUGCUAAGCUUGAGCAUAGUAGAGGUAGCUGGAAUUGCUGGUGUAGGAGUGAAAUCCGUAGAUAUCAGCAGGAACACCGAUGGCGUAGGCAGGCUACUGGGCUAUUGCUGACACUAAGGCACGAAAGCGUGGGGAGCGAACGGG
rnacentral:rRNA from 1 species